UACGUAGGGUGCGAGCGUUAAUCGGAAUUACUGGGCGUAAAGGGUGCGUAGGCGGGCUGUUAAGUCAGCGGUAAAAGCCCGGGGCUCAACCCCGGCGAGCCGUUGAAACUGGCUGUCUUGAGAUGUCGAGAGGUAUGCGGAAUGCGCAGUGUAGCGGUGAAAUGCUUAGAUAUUGCGCAGAACUCCGAUUGCGAAGGCAGCAUACCGGCGCCCAACUGACGCUGAGGCACGAAAGCGUGGGGAUCGAACAGG
rnacentral:rRNA from 1 species